CCUACGGGAGGCAGCAGUGGGGAAUAUUGGGCAAUGGAGGAAACUCUGACCCAGCGACGCCGCGUGCGGGAUGAAGGCCUUCGGGUUGUAAACCGCUUUCAGUAGGGAAGAAGCGAAAGUGACGGUACCUACAAAAGAAGCACCGGCUAACUAUGUGCCAGCAGCCGCGGUAAUACAUAGGGUGCAAGCGUUGUCCGGAAUUAUUGGGCGUAAAGAGCUCGUAGGUCGUUUGUUACGUCGGAUGUGAAAACCUGAGGCUCAACCUCAGGCCUGCAUUCGAUACGGGCAAACUAGAGUUUGGUAGGGGAGACUGGAAUUCCUGGUGUAGCGGUGGAAUGCGCAGAUAUCAGGAGGAACACCAAUGGCGAAGGCAGGUCUCUGGGCCAAUACUGACACUGAGGAGCGAAAGUCUGGGGAGCGAACAGGAUUAGAUACCCUGGUAGUCCAGACCGUAAACGGUGGGCACUAGUUGUGGGAACCUUCCACGGUUUCUGCGACGCAGCUAACGCAUUAAGUGCCCCGCCUGGGGAGUACGAUCGCAAGAUUAAAACUCAAAGGAAUUGACGG
rnacentral:rRNA from 2 species